CUUUGGCUAUGUUCAUAGGGUGGGGAAGUAGCAAAAAGCUCUAUUCUCGCAGUAAAUAUCAGCUUUCGAUUUUGGAACGAUAACAAAAUUGAAGCAAACAACAAUGGCCUCCUCAACCUCAAUCUCAGGAUUUUCCUCUCUGAAUUCGAUUUGCUCAUCCAAAUCUCACAUCCAUUCGUCUCUUUCUUCGAGCUUUCCACUUGGGUCUCUUCAUCGUCAAAGCCAUGGCAGCUCUGUCAAUCGUAACCCUACUUUCGCACUUGUACUGAACAAUAACAAGUUCCAAAGAUGGAGAAACAUGGUUAGGUCGGUCGUCGAAGAAACCCUAGUUCCAGAAGAGACUGAUCAGCCCGUCUCUGCUCUCACCAUGUUCUUUCAGGUGACUGAAGCCGCAAGAAGGGAGAGGGCUAUCACAGGAUCAGUACGUCGAGUAUGGGAUCACAUAGUUCUUAUAUUCUUGUAUCGCAUACUUUAUGUACUUCCAUGUAGAAAUGCGUUCAGCUUUUGUGGUUAGAUUGAGACUUCUAAUCUUAUUAACUGAGCAUGGCAGAAGGAACAAUGAAUGAAGCAGCUAUUCGUACAGUGACCAAUGCUUUAGAGGAAACAGAAGGCAUUGCCAAUUUAAAAGUUCAAGUUGUCGAGGGAAUUGCAAGUGUUGAGCUAACAAAAGAGACGACAAUACAAGCUACAGGGGUGGCCUCCAAUUUGGUUGAGAUCAUACAAGGUUCGGGCUUCAAACUACAAACAUUAUACUUGAGCUUUGAGGAUGAAGAAACCAUCAACUAGAUCUCAUAUAUUGAUUUACCUGUCCGAACCUCACAAAGAAAAGGGCACAUGAAAGCUCUUUAUCAGAAUCCUAGAAUCUAGGCUAAUGCAGCAGAGUUGUUGUACUCACUUGUCAUAGUUCCAUGGGCAUUUCUAUUGUUUAGUGUUUUGUUAUCUUGUUAUGUCUCUGAAAGCACACUAAGUUGUGAAAUUGUGUUUAGAACAUGUAUUUUCUGUAGUCCCAUUUGUCAUUUGUCCAGUUUAUGCUGUUUGUUAGCUCGAUUCAGCUGUCACAGUUAUAUUGUUUGUCAAUACUAAUCAUUUGAAUUAGGUAGA